rnacentral:rRNA from 2 species
UCCCCUUCGGGGGACAGAGUGACAGGUNGUGCAUGGUUGUCGUCAGCUCGUGUCGUGAGAUGUUGGGUUAAGUCCCGCAACGAGCGCAACCCUUGAUCUUAGUUGCCAGCAUUUAGUUGGGCACUCUAAGGUGACUGCCGGUGACAAACCGGAGGAAGGUGGGGAUGACGUCAAAUCAUCAUGCCCCUUAUGACCUGGGCUACACACGUGCUACAAUGGAUGGUACAAAGGGCUGCAAGACCGCGAGGUCAAGCCAAUCCCAUAAAACCAUUCUCAGUUCGGAUUGUAGGCUGCAACUCGCCUACAUGAAGCUGGAAUCGCUAGUAAUCGCGGAUCAGCAUGCCGCGGUGAAUACGUUCCCGGGCCUUGUACACACCGCCCGUCACACCACGAGAGUUUGUAACACCC